rnacentral:rRNA from 1 species
UACAUGGGGUGCAAACGUUGCUCGGAAUUAUUGGGCGUAAAGCGCACGUAGGCGGUUCGUUAAGUCGGAUGUGAAAGCCCUCGGCUCAACUGAGGAAGUGCACCCGAAACUGGCGAGCUUGAGUACGAAAGAGGAUCGCGGAAUUCCCGGUGUAGAGGUGAAAUUCGUAGAUAUCAGGAGGAACACCGGUGGCGAAGGCGGGUCUCUGGGCCGAUACUGACGCUGAGGAGCGAAAGCGUGGGGAGCGAACAGG